rnacentral:SRP_RNA from 1 species
GCUGGGUGUGGUGGUGCGUGCCUGUAGUCCCAGCUACUGGGGAAGCUGAGGCAGAAGAAUUGCUUGAACCCAGGAGGUGGAAGUUGCAGUGAGCCAAGAUCGUGCCACUGCACUCCAGCCUGGGUGACAGAGAGAGAUUCUGUCUCAA